UGGGCGCUGUACAGAGGAGCAGGCGGCCACGUCUAGGAAGCUCCUGGGGACGAGGGGGAGAGAACUUAACUUGUGUCAGUGUCGCGUGGUGUUGAGACUCGUGCAAAAGGUUCUGUUAUCUACCUGGAACACAUUGAAGGAGGAGAACAAAUGGAACUACAGGGCUCUGUGAACAUCUAGAGAAACAAUAUAGAUGCAACCUUGAGAUCCGAGCUGUCCUUGUUAUCG